rnacentral:piRNA from 1 species
UUUCUCGACGGUGUGUUGUCC